rnacentral:rRNA from 1 species
GCAAGUCGAGGGGUAACAGGGAAGCUUGCUUUCGCUGACGACCGGCGCACGGGUGCGUAACGCGUAUGCAAUCUACCUUCAACUGGAGAAUAGCCCGAGGAAACUCGGAUUAAUACUCCAUAAUAUCCAUUUUUCGCAUGAUUUUUGGAUUAAAGUUCCGGCGGUUGAAGAUGAGCAUGCGUGACAUUAGAUAGUUGGUGAGGUAACGGCUCACCAAGUCAGCGAUGUCUAGGGGGUCUGAGAGGAUGAUC